AUUGAACGCUGGCGGCAGGCCUAACACAUGCAAGUCGAGCGGAGCGGCGGACGGGUGAUUAAUGCCUAGGAAUCUGCAUGGUAGUGGGGGAUCACGUCCGGACACGGGCGCUACUACCGCAUACUCUCAGAUGAGCCUAUGUCGGAUGAGCUAGUUGGUGGGGUAAAGGCCUACCAAGGCGACGAUCCGUAACUGGUCUGAGAGGAUGAUCAGUCACACUGGAACUGAGACACGGUCCAGACUCCUACGGGAGGCAGCAGUGGGGAAGAUUGGACAAUGGGCGAAAGCCUGAUCCAGCCAUGCCGCGUGUGUGAAGAAGGUCGUCGGAUUGUAAAGCACUUUAAGUUGUGAGGCGUUACCAACAGAAUAAGCACCGGCUAACUUCGUGCCAGCAGCCGCGGUAAUAC
rnacentral:rRNA from 1 species